rnacentral:rRNA from 1 species
AGAGAUGCUUUGGUGCCUUCGGGAACUCUGAGACAGGUGCUGCAUGGCUGUCGUCAGCUCGUGUUGUGAAAUGUUGGGUUAAGUCCCGCAACGAGCGCAACCCUUAUCCUUUGUUGCCAGCGGUCCGGCCGGGAACUCAAAGGAGACUGCCAGUGAUAAACUGGAGGAAGGUGGGGAUGACGUCAAGUCAUCAUGGCCCUUACGAGUAGGGCUACACACGUGCUACAAUGGCGCAUACAAAGAGAAGCGACCUCGCGAGAGCAAGCGGACCUCAUAAAGUGCGUCGUAGUCCGGAUUGGAGUCUGCAACUCGACUCCAUGAAGUCGGAAUCGCUAGUAAUCGUAGAUCAGAAUGCUACGGUGAAUACGUUCCCGGGCCUUGUACACACCGCCCGUCACACCAUGGGAGUGGGUUGCAAAAGAAGUAGGUAGCUUAACCUUCGGGAGGGCGCUUACCACUUUGUGAUUCAUGACUGGGGUGAAGUCGUAACAAGGUAGGCGUAGCGAG